GACGAACGCUGGCGGCGUGCUUAACACAUGCCAGUCGAACGGAAAGGCCCUGCUUGCAGGGUACUCGAGUGGCGAACGGGUGAGUAACACGUGGGUGAUCUGCCCUGCACUUCGGGAUAAGCCUGGGAAACUGGGUCUAAUACCGGAUAGGAGCCAUUUUUAGUGUGAUGGUUGGAAAGUUUUUUCGGUGUAGGAUGAGCUCGCGGCCUAUCAGCUUGUUGGUGGGGUAAUGGCCUACCAAGGCGGCGACGGGUAGCCGGCCUGAGAGGGUGGACGGCCACAUUGGGACUGAGAUACGGCCCAGACUCCUACGGGAGGCAGCAGUGGGGAAUAUUGCACAAUGGGCGCAAGCCUGAUGCAGCGACGCCGCGUGGGGGAUGACGGCCUUCGGGUUGUAAACUCCUUUCGCUAGAGACGAAGCUUUUUGUGACGGUACCUAGAUAAGAAGCACCGGCUAACUACGUG
rnacentral:rRNA from 1 species